UGCCAACGCCUCGGGGAUACCUUACUAUGU
rnacentral:piRNA from 1 species